rnacentral:rRNA from 1 species
UACAGAGGUCUCAAGCGUUUGUUCGGAUUCAUUGGGCGUAAAGGGUGUGUAGGUGGCGCCGUAAGUCGGGUGUGAAAUUUCGGAGCUUAACUCCGAAACUGCAUUCGAUACUACGGUGCUUGAGGACUGGAGAGGAGACUGGAAUUCAUGGUGUAGCAGUGAAAUGCGUAGAGAUCAUGAGGAAGACCAGUGGCGAAGGCGGGUCUCUGGACAGUUCCUGACACUGAGACACGAAGGCCAGGGGAGCAAACGGG